rnacentral:rRNA from 1 species
ACUUAGGACCAAAUCUCCCUGAAUGUGCCCAAUCUCAUGAAGCAUCGGUAGCUAAGCAGAAUCUCACCUGGUUAGCAUUUGUAUGGGAGGUUGUUUAGGAAUACCAGGUGCUGCAGGCU